AUGUGCGGGAACAAAUGUCUGACCUAUCUAAAUCUUUUAUGGAGGAGCUUCGUCGAGAGCGCCUCCAGUUGUCCUCUUUACCGCGGGAGCGGGCUUACUCUGAUGGGAACCGUCCUCCCGACCGCCGUCCAUCCCGACCUUCCGGCUCUCGAUUUCAGUGGGAUGAGCGUGGGCGUCCCAUCUGCAACGGCUGUGGAGAGCUGGACAUUACUUCCGUCAGUGUCCUGCUCGACGUGCAUCGCAGGGGGGUUUUUAGAGUUUCCGGCCACUGUGGGUCAAGUGGUCGGGACCCCCUUAUCAGACCCCUCUCUGCCUACAACUUCUAGGAGCCGCCUGGUGGGCUGUUGCCCAGUGGUGGUGGUUCAGGUCAAUGACCAGAAAGUGCAGUGCCUCUUGGAUACAGGCUCCCAAGUGACCCUAUUCACCGAAAGCUUGGCCCAUGAGUUGUUUGGCACCGAAGGUUGUCCACCUGCGGAAGCCCCCUGGUUGACGCUACGUGGGGCGAAUGGUCUCGACAUCCCGUAUGUGGGAUACCUUGUGACUGAUCUAAAGAUUCAGGGAGUAGUGGUGCCACAGAAAGGAGUGGUGGUCGUACGAGACACAUGCCUGGGGUCUCAUCGUGCCCUGAUUGGGAUGAACGUCAUUUCGGACUGUUGGGAGGAGCUGUUCCGAAGUAGACCGGCUCGAACAGCUGCAACAUCAGCCGGGCAGGAGUGGGACCGCAUCAGGGCCGACUGCUGUCGAGUAUGUCUGGCCGAACAACAGGGGGAUCGGGAAAGCACGGGAAGAGUAGCCUGCCGUUACGCCUUGUCCAUUCCAGCUCAGAGUGAGGCUUUGGUCGGGGUCAGGUUGCCUCCUCGACUUUAUAGUCCGGAAGAUUGGGUCAUGGUGGAACCCCAUGAAGAUGGCCCCAAGGUGGAAGUUGCUCGAGGAUUGGCGACUGUUCAGGGGGGCCGGGUCUCAGUGCGAGUCAGGAACAUGAAUCCCUUCCCUGUUCACUUGUAUCGUCACCAGCGUUUGGCCCGGGUGACCUCAGUGAGGCCCCAGCAGGUUCGUGAACAGGGUGAAGUCAACUUCAAUCGGGUAGGCCCGACAGUGGUAGAGGUGGCCCUGACACGAGCGGGUUCGGGGGCGGGAGAGAUAGGAGGAGGAUUGCCUACCCACCUGAUGGGGGAGUCUUUACGGGGGGAAGGACUAGGAGAAGAGCAAUUGGGACAACUCCAAGAGUUCUUGAUGGAAUGGCAGCACUUGUUUUCCACUCACGAUGAGGAUUACGGCCGCACGGAUGUGGUACGACAUCAAAUCCCAACUGGGGAUGCUGCACCCAGCCGAGAGCGCUAUCGACCCGUG
rnacentral:lncRNA from 1 species